UGAUGAAAGGAAUACCGAUCCAGAUGAUUGUGUCACCUUGGAAAGUCCUGCUAAGAGAGCCAAAACAUCAGACCCCUCAUCACAAUUUGACUUCCUAUCGGACUUCUUCCCUGAAUCACCUAUUAUCAAUCCAACAAACGACGACCUCAUAGAAUUACUUUGCUUGCAACUGGAGAUAAUUGAUCCCCAUUUAUUCGAGUAAGCCACCUUUUCUAGCAAGUUCAUUUUUUUGUGUUCAAAUAAACUAUUAUUUGUUCCAUCGUGCUUGACAAAAUUUGCUCUUCCACAGGAUCGAAUGGGUCAGGAUCUCUAAGCCUUAUCCAAUUAGUUUAACUAUAAGACAAAUAAGGAACAUAUUGUUCACAAAUUAUGUGGACCCAGAUUGCUUCAAUGUGGCUGUGCGUGUACUAGCGAGCCACCCAUCAAACUUAUGUAGAGAUCAGCUGGUUCACUUAAUGGAUCUGAAGUUUUGCAUGAUGUCCAAAUUUGCACGAGACGCGGGUUGUCGUGAAAUGUUAGACGUUGAACAGCUAGCACAAUUGUUUCGUAGCUGGCCUGGCUGCAUCGACGAGUACCAUAUCUCAGAUUGUGACACGAUUUAUUUGCCUUAUGAAAUUUAUGGGCUAUAUAUGUUGUUUGUCUUCAACCUUCAGAAAAAAAUUGUCUAUAUUUUGAAUCCGCUUCCAAUACAAUCUUGGGGGGGAGCAUAUAUUUAAAACUAUGGAAAUAGGUAAAAAUUUAAACCUUGCCCUCAAAGUUGCAAACCCUGGAUGGAACGAUGAUAUAUGUAAAUGGGAAUGCAAAGUUUCUGAUGUUAUUCCGAAAAACUAUCACGGGUACGAAGUUUCUCACUCCAACACAAUCUUAUCUCAUUUGUUUCAACGCACAAUGUAACGUUACAUAUGUUUGCAGUGGUCUGUCUGGAUAUUUGGUUUUCAAUUUCAUGCACUCAUAUCACAAUGAAAGGCUACAUUAUUA